GGUGCGCUGGUCGGGCCGCAGGCAGCUGAAGGUCUUCUCUGUGGAGGCAGCAAUUAGUUAAAUAAGCGGUGCCUGCGGUUUCCCACCCGUUCUCUAAUGGCAGUGUUUUACAUGUGUCUCUCCAGUCAGCACUGGGCUGCUCAGUGCGACCAGGGCCUUUUCAAUGAAAACGAGGAAAUACUUCUUGGCUGCAAUGAUACCAUUAUCGAUCAUUUACUUACAUGUGCAGCCACUUGGUCCCCUGGAAGUGUUCACAGCUAAAAGGUACAGCAAGAGCAGGCCCUGUACAACAACCUGUUUUAAACUUUGCACAAAGCGAUCCUUGUUGAGCAAAAUCCAGAGAUUAUCCCUUGUUUAUCUGAAGAGCGUUCAACAGCCAGACAAUGCAAGCAGCAAACAGAGCAGAGUUAUCUUAAAGUGUUCUCUGGCACACCAGUCACAGAGCUGAGGAGGUGAGGACGACAGCCAAGCAGUAAUUCACCCUCGGAAUCUAUUUCAAGUUAUCUACACGGCUUCUCUCCAUCCAGCCUCAGUUUAAUCUCUCUGUGAACAGCACUGCUGAAUACGAUCAUUGCUUUCUCUGGCCACGAAGGCUGAGAGCACUUCGAUGCUGCCUGCAUGCCUUGCUUUAUCUAAGAAAGUGUAGCAGAGUAUUGCUUUACUCGCUCUGAACCAAACAAAAGUCCCAGUCAGGGACCAGUGCCUCAUUAUGUGAAGCAGUCUACAAAACGCAGAGCAAACCCCAUACUUCCUUCCCAGAGGAGAGCACAGAACCGACCAAAACCACCAGCAAUGUUAUACUCUGCAGCUGACCACAGAGGCUCAAACAGAAAACAGCUCAGUGCAUCCAAAAGCUGCCUCACCCUUUGAGCGUGUUCCCAGAUCUCAGCCAAGAGCACUACUAUGGAAUAGCUGUGAGUAGCCGGAAGAGCAUUGUGGGGAUUGAGAUGCAAAUGAGCAAACCAAGCAGCCCCCUUCUCUGCAGAGGUUCCCUAUCUCCUUCUGCCCCUCACUUUUGAACUGGGGGAGGCUUAACCUGGGCAUGGCUCUGCAGCCAUGAGCCCUGGCUCUGCAGCCAGAAAUGCUGACUCUGCGACCACAAAUCUGGGCUUUGCUCAUUGUAAGACUCAUCAGCUUGGGUCAGAUGAAGGAACUGCAUCAGCAUCAAUAAGGGCAUGGAGGACAGGAGAGGCUUUCAAAGCCCCCAUGUUGCCAUUACUUUUCCGGCUCCCCUGAACUAAAUGCUGCUGCCUUUUCUGAAGGGGGAGAAGGAAAGCCAGUGGCAGUGGCAACUGCAAAAUAGCACAUGCUGUUCUGUAUCGUAAAGUUCCCAGUUUUCAGCCAGUUUCCAAAGUUCCAAAGUGUAAUGUGAGCAGCUGCCUGGCCACUUGUUUGUUUUGUCAAAUGCAGUGAGUUACAAUAUUGCAAAGGAAAUCAGAUACAGUAAGUUGGGAGGCAGGCAGAGGGUCUCACAUCUAAACACACCGAGGAAUAAAGCCCUACGACGUUGUCUCUGUAUGCUUUUCUUUCCAGUACGAGGGAAGGAAGCAAAACAUUCCAACAAAAUCUCCUUCUAAAGCAAUAAUCAAGGCACUGAGCUCUAAAGCCCGUGUCGCUGCACAUGACCGGGAGAAUAAAGCAUUUUGCAUUUA